rnacentral:rRNA from 1 species
UACAGAGGGUGCGAGCGUUGUCCGGAAUCACUUGGCGUAAAGGGCGCGUAGGUGGUGGCUUAAGCGUGCGGUGAAAGCUCGGAGCUCAACUCCGAGUCGGCCGUGCGAACUGGGCUCACUGGAGCAUAGUAGAGGCAGGUGGAAUUCCGGGUGUAGCGGUGGAAUGCGUAGAGAUCCGGAAGAACACCGGUGGCGAAGGCGGCCUGCUGGGCUAUGGCUGACACUGAGGCGCGACAGCGUGGGGAGCAAACAGG